rnacentral:rRNA from 1 species
GACGAACGCUGGCGGCGUGCUUAAUACAUGCAAGUCGAGCGAGACUCUUGAUGAAGCUUGCGAUUCAAGAGUUUAGCGGCGGACGGGUGAGUAACGCGUGGGUAACCUACCCAUCAGCGGGGGAUAACACUUGGAAACAGGUGCUAAUACCGCAUAAUUCUUUUCUUCGCCUGGAGGAAAGAUGAAAGACGCUUUUGCGUCACUGAUGGAUGGACCCGCGCUGCAUUAGCUAGUUGGUGGGGUAACGGCUCACCAAGGCCACGAUGCAUAGCCGACCUGAGAGGGUGAUCGGCCACACUGGGACUGAGACACGGCCCCAGACUCCUACGGGAGGCAGCAGUAGGGAAUCUUCGGCAAUGGACGAAAGUCUGACCGAGCAACGCGCGUGAGUGAAGAAGGUUUUCGGAUCGUAAAACUCUGUUGUUAGAGAAGAAUAAGGAUGAGAGUAGAAUGUUCAUCCCUUGACGGUAUCUAACCAGAAAGCCACGGCUAAC